rnacentral:lncRNA from 10 species
CUUUUUGGAGUGACAGCAAACGGCAUUUGAAAAGUGUUGAUACUCACGCUGUAGCUGUCCCAGGGCCACACACUGAUUGGACCAGGGACGGGUGCCCCACAGACCCUCAUGGGUUUAAGCCGAGUCUGCCUAAGUGUGGAACCACAGAGAACCUGAGAUGUGCAUUGCACACGGCCUGUGCCUUCCUGCAACGGAGGGGCAAGUGGAGCCCUCAUCUUCCCAGUCAGCAUCCUCCCCACCCCGCCUCCGGGCAUGGGAGCCAUUGCCACAGCCUGGGACCCCUCUACCUGCAGAAGCGAAUGCUUUUAUACUCCCAAGUGCAUAUUGAAAAGCCAAAGCUGCAGCGUUGUGCAAUGUAUUCCAUCAAAGUUUGGCGCGUUUUUCUUCAACGUUACGGUGCGGGUGACUGAGGACAGUUGUUGCGAGCGCUGCUUCUUGGUUCCCCGAAAUGGGAGGCGUCUUGUGCGGCUUCCCGGAGGCCACCUCAGGGAGGAUCGUGUUUCCAUGUGCAGUGAAGGAUUUGGGCGGGUAAAUCAAAUCGUCACAGCAAUGGCGGACUCCUUCAGGACACAAAGCCAAAGGACAGGGAUCUUUUAUUCGUUUCUAUCGAACACUGCAGAUUGAAGCUGGGUGCCUGAUGGACACCUGCUCACGUGCUUCUCUGUGAGUAUCUGCAUUGUCUCAAUUGCAAGUGUGCAUUUUGCUGAGAAUCACUGUUGCCCCCGAUGGGGUCCUGUCCUAUGGACUAUCCCUGUCUAGCUGGGAGCUCGGUGCCAGGAGCUCAGCUGGCUCCAACGCUUCCCAUCCUGCUAAGUUCUACCCUGACUACAUUGGUAGGUAACACCUGUUUUCCUGCAAUACUUAAAUACUGUUUCUACCUGCACCUUCGGCAGCUAUGUGGCAGACAUUUAAUCAUUGUUAGGCAAAAAAGACCUAAAGAUAUUCUGUGAGCUACUGCACCCUGCCUGGCCACAUGUCUUGGAGAGCCCUACACAGAUUCAGAUAUUGUUAUUGCUUCUAUCCACUCUGCUAAACUAAGUCAUGGUUAAUAAAAUAUGAGAAUCAGUAAUUUCCAAGUUUCUAAGAGUUUAAAGUUAUAGGAAAUAAAAGACAUGAUGUAUUCCUCAGAGUAGACUCACUAUUGUAAUAACACCUCCGAAUUUUAGUGGCUUACCAAACUAAGAAUGUAUUGUUCACUUGCAUGGCUGUCAAACAUGGGCCAGAUGAGGGCUGUGCUCCACACCACCGCCCAGGAAUCUGGGAUCCUCCCUUGGGCUCCAGUAGCUUCGUGGACGUCUGCACAUGGAUAUAAACGAGGCAGCUGAGGGGAACUGGUGGGAUUUCAGAGGAGGUCUAGAGGCGGUGGCCAUCGCUCUCCCUCACAGUCUCCUGGCCAGGACUUGGUCACACAGCUGCACCUCACAGCGAGGGGCUGGGGAACGCAGCCUCACCCCGUGUCCAGGAAGAGGAGUGCCAUGCCGUGGUGAGAAUCUCCGCUCCUGAAGAGCACAUGGUUAGUGAUUUACACAUCCUGAUGUUGUGGUUUAGGGUCUCCUCCCACCGUGGGAGACAGCGGAAAACAGUGUGCAUUGCUUACGGUGAGGAAGCUGGUUCCUUGGCUGGUCUGUGGGUCACACGGCUCAUCUCCAUGGGGACAGCGGCCACUCUUCACCAUGCAUCUUGUUGCUGGAUUGCAACGGGAGCCAUGCCAUCGAUGCUUUGGGCAAAAUAGCUCAUGUGUGGCUCCUCACCAGCUGUGUGCAGUGGCACAGAUGCCCCACGAAGCUUAUAGCUGGGUGUCUUCACCUCACAAAGCCAUUUCCAGCUGGACAAGCUGGCCUCUUGGUGCUAAUGCGUCUGUAAAAGGCGAAGACCCUCUCAUCAUUCCGCGAGCCACAUGAUGGUGCUGUGUUUUUAUGCCUGUCUCCCAUAACAAGUGACACCAUUGAGAAUGAGUAGCAGGGGUAUCCAAUAGCUGUUACUUUGAAGUAAAAGGAUUUCACCGAUCCAGCUGCAGUGGGUCCCUAAACCAAGGGUUGCUUAACACACAAACUCACAGGUUGCAUCAUGGCCGUGGAGUACACUAGACUCAGCACCAGGACCCCGUCUGUCCUCACCAGCUGUGUGUAUGCCUUGGUGAGCUCCUUAAAUCUAAACACUUGAGUAUCCUUAUUUGUCAAAAGAGGAUUCGAAUUUUAACCCUGGAGAGCCAAAAAUACAAGAAUUACUUAAUGAAGGGGUUGUUGAGAAGCGAUAAACUGAAAGGUAAAUCAAAGCCCCAUGGCAAAUGCGAAUGGCUUGAAAAUGCAGGAAAUGCUUUCAUCCUGGAACAUCUGCUGUCCUGCCCAAGUCAGGUCUGUGU